CUAUCCUGGUUUUUGUUCUUGUCUUUGUUUUUCCAUAUGAAGUGAGAAUUGUUCUUUCACGAUCUGUGAAGAAUUGGGUUUGAACUAUAAUGGGGAUUGCAUUGAAUCUGUAGAUUGAUUUUGGUAAGAUGGCCAUGUUUCACUAUGUUAAUUCUACUUUCUAUGAACAUGGGAAAUCUUUCUAUCUUCUGAUAUCUUUCUCAAUUUUUUUUCUUCAGAGAUUUGAAGUUCUUGUCAUAUAGGUAUUCACUAUAGUUACAUCAAGGCAUUUUAUAAUGUUUGUGACUGUUUUGAGGGGUACUACCUCCCUAACUUCUUUUUCAGCCUGUUUAUCACUUGUGUAGAAGAUACUAUAUUGAAGAAUUAGGGAGAGAGUGGACAGCCUUGCUUUGUUCAUGGUUUUAGAGAACUUGCUUUAAGUUUCUUUCCAUUUAAUUCGAUGGUGGCAUCGACUUCCUGUAUGCUGCCUUUAUUAUCUUUAGGUCUGCACCUUGUAUCACUGAUAUCUCCAAGAAUUUAACAUGAAAGGGGUGUUAGAUUUUGUCAGAUGCUUUUUCAGCAUCUAAUGAGAUGAUCAUAUGGUUCUUUUCUUUCAGUUUGUUUAUGUGGUAGAUGACAUUGAUGGAUUUUCAUACACUAAGCUACCCCUACAUUCCUGAGUUAAAGCCUGCUUGACCAUGAUGCAUUUUGUCUUCAAUAUGUUCUUGGAUUCAGUUUGCAUCUAGUUUUCUCUGAUAUUGGCUGGGUGAUCCUGAUGGCAGCAGAACAUCUUGAGAAGGUAGGUGGAGCUGUGGGUCAGACAAUGUAUUUCAGGGAAUCAAACUCUUGGUUGGACCUCAACCAGACCCUACUGGCAAGGGAUUGGUGGGGCGAUAUUCCAAGUUAGUAGUACUUGGGAUCUCUGCAAGCCUUCACAGAGUAGUAUGAGACUUUUGGGGUCCCACAAGGGUCCUUAGGAUGAAAGAGUGAGCCCAGAGAUAGACAAUGAAGCUCAGGGGACCACGAGCAACUAAUUUACCUCUGCAGGCUGGGUUUUGGGUGUGCCUGGCUGCAAAGGGAUUUGGUGGGGCAAGGUUCCAAGCUGGUUAGUUUUGGGGAUCCCAAAGAUAUCCACGGGGAAGAAUGAUGCUUGUUAGGGUCCUAAAAGGCUCAUCCAGACUCAAGAGCAGGCCCAGAGCUAGACAGACAAUGGGGCUCUGGGAACCAAGUGCAACUCACCUUUGUAGGCUGUGUCUUGGGCAUUUAGAGUCUUCUAUUUGUUCCUUUUUUCACCGUGACCACAUGACUUAUUCUCCUCUCUCUGUUUUUCACUAUUUUUUGCCUUUUAAUUAGCAUCUUGGUGAUGGGUAAUAAAGUCUAAAUGGCUGAGACAGAGUCCAAGGUUUGGGUUUAAAAGCUAUGAUAAAGCCAUCAGUUGGUCAAUGCUGCAAUGAAAGAAGUACUUUGUGAAAGGGAGCUAGUGGUCUCUGACAAGUCUUAUGUUAGGCUUUGCCUACUUGCUUUUGUGAUGAGGAAGAUUUCACACAAUUCUGACAACAUACUGGGCCACAUUGCUGGGAAGACUCAGCCCUGCCAUAAUUCUGACUAGCCUUAUACUUACUCUGUAGCCAAUGACUUCUGACUCCUGAUCCUCCCACACCUACCUUCCAAAUGCUAAAAUUGCAAGUCAGGACACCCAUUCUUGGUAUUAUUUUGACAAAUCUUUAAAAUAUGAGUCACAAAUAGUUUUGGAAAAUUUGACAGAAUGAUUUGUGUUAAAUUCAAUUGACUUAUGAUCAUUCCUGUAAAAUUCCUUUCUAGUUCUUGGUAUUGAUUUGAUUCACACAGAAUUUUCUGAGUGCUGCCCUUGAAAACAGUUCUAUGUCCUGGCAAGAAUAGGCAAGAAGCAUGGAGUGGCAGAGAAUUCCUAGUCUGAGUCUCUGUACUUGGACACACAUUUUUCUGGUUCUUUAUCUACAUGUGGCAACUCAUAAAAGAUGAAACCUUACUUAACCAGUGAGGCAGUAUGUUUCUAUUUCCAGUUUUGAGCAGUUGACCUUAUAUUUAAAUCAUGUGUAUGCAAAUAUAAUGUUGAUUGACUAUAUGUAAAAUCUAUGCAUAUUUUAAAUACUUUGAAUACUCCAAAUAUUAUAACAAUGUGAAUAAUUCAAAUAUGUAGAUAUUUUAGAUACUUUAUCAGGUCGCAAUGCUUUACAAAAUUGUCUGAUUACAACAAAAUCAUUAUAUAAGUUACAACUAGUAGCUUAUAUGUCAUAUGUUUUAUGGGAAUUUACUUACCCGUAAUAAAAAUUAUAUGAGAUCAUGAUUUGCUUUGAGUAACAGGCACAACAGACCAACAUCUAGUUCACCCCAGUAACUAAUCUCUGCCUGGGCUUAGAAGGUCAUAUGUUUCAUUAACUAAUUAAGCUGUAAGCUAACUAAACUGUAAUCGAUUGACCAGCUCAUGGGCUAAGCUGUAGCUCAUUAAGUUAUUAUCUAUUACACUUCUGUCUCUCGCUAAGUGCUGUUUGAUUGCUUUAGGAUCUGGAUUCUUAGAACCUGCUUUAGUUUUGAGAGACCCCUAACUCACAGCCUACUUUUCUGCUGCUUAAAUAUAAUUUACCCAAUUUAAUUAGUUUACAGAUUGGAGAGAUGGUUCAAUGAUUAAGAGCCCUCGCUUCCUUCCCAAAGAACCAUAGUUUGGGUCCCAGCACAUGGUUUGGGUGAUUUACAACUGCUUAUAAUUCUAACAAGUAAAGUUCUGAAUUGUGUUAUAAAGGUCGUUGGUAUAAUAAGCACUCAGUACAUAUCCUGGAGGUAAUUCCUAGGACCAAAAACAACAGCAGCAGCAGCAUCACCAUCACCAUCACCAUCACCAUCACCAACACCAUCACCAUCACCACCACUAUCAUCAUCAUCAUCAUCAGCAGCAGCAGCAUCAUCAUCAUCAUCAUCAUCAUCAUCAUCAUCAUCAUCAUCAUAAAAAACAACACUCAGGAAGUCCCUAAAGUCUAAGCGUUGCCUCUAAGGUCACUGGUCUCCAAUCUUGCCUUAGCACAUAAUGCUAAGUUUUUAACUUUGCUUGUAAAGAUUGCUUCUCACCCAUCUGGAAAGUGGGAUGUGCAUUGGAAACAGUACAUUUUGCUGCAAAGCAAAGCUUGUUUGUUUUCCUCUCUUUUAAAUAAACACAUCGAGGCUGCUCUGUUUGGUUUCUAUCAAUGAAGGUCGAUGAAGACAUUUUCUGAAAUCAGCAGGGUAGAUACUUAGCUGGUUAUUUUUCUUGGUUUCUCUUUAUUUGUUUGGGUCUUUUUUUUCUCCUCCUCAAAGAUGAUGGUUUGUCAUCUAAAAAUACACUUCUUAAGAGUCAUCUUUAUUUAGCUUACAAACUUCAAUAAAGACAUAUUGUCUGUGUGCAGCUUCAAACUGGUGAUUCAGCAUGGGGGCACACUGAAUGAAAGAGCAAGAAAUGAACCAAAUCCUGUUGAGAGAGAAUGGAAACUGUAAUGACUCUGGUUAUAAGCACAGACCCCCCACUGGCCCUUGAUUGGCCAUUCUGUGUGAAUGAGUGUUUGAAAAGAGCUGUUACCCCAGUCAAAGAUGGCCUUGAGAAAAUAAAAAGGAAGGACCAGAUUAGAUACUUACUUGUUUGGGCAGCAUUUGGCAUCUUAAGUUACUCCCUGCAUUGUCGUCCUCACAGAAUAUGGAACAAGAGAAGAGAGGAAAUGCUCAAAUUUUAGAGGUGCACAUCAAGUGUUUAAUGUACUUUGCAAAUGACUAGAAACACAGGGAGAUUAGCCUGCAAGGUUGGAGAGCUGAAAGGAUGUGGUCUAGGGGCUCAUCAAGGCACAGUGAUGACAAGGAUGUAGACAGAGCUUUUGCUGUGACCACAGUAGUCACCGCAGUCUCUCAGUCAUGUGCUCUAAGUGUUUGCCUUCCUCACCCACUGGGUGAGAUCCUCUCUGUAAGCUCAAGACAUAGAUUAAUUUGCAACAUUUAAACUGUUCAUCAUCAAAUGGGGAAAAAAGGAAAAUUAGUUUGCUUUUCCAAAGAUAACAUUCUCAAACUCCAUUCCCUCAAUCUUAACAUCCUAAGUUACCCCAGUACUCAAGUCCAUAGCAAGUAUUGCCACCUACUUCAUUAUAUUAGGCUCUAAUCCAUGUUUUCUUUCCUUUUUCUUUCUUAUAUUUUUGCUUCAUCUGUGUUGCGGUGUGUGUGUGUGUGUGUGUGUGUGUGUGUGUGUGUGUGUGUGUGUGUGUAUGAUGUCUGUACACAUGGUUUUGCACAUGUGCAGUACAAAUGAGGACCAAAGGCCUUCAUCCUUGAUCCCUCCCUCCCUCUUUCACCUUUAUUCAUGGAGGCAGGCUUUCUCAGUCAACCCUGGAACCAUCUUCCAGCUUCCAUCAGCCAGCUUCCUCUGGGAAUCCCCUGGAGAUUUUGAGGCUGAAAUUAUAGGCAGGACACUAUUCCCACCCUGCAUUUGCAUGGGUUUCCAGAGAUCUGAUCUCUGUCCUCACACUUGCCCAGCCAGCUCUUUAAGUGCUGAGCCAUCUUCCCUAGUUCGUUUCCUGUUGUUUUUUAAGGACAGAGACACAUGGCUCUCACCCAGUGAUCCUUCCUUUGGCUUAGCCUCUGUUUUUCAAGGGAGGAAAUUGAGAUUUCAAAAAGGUAGCGUGUCCAAGGGCAUAGAGGAAAACAAAAUUUCCACCUAUAUGAAAGGGAACUAAUAAAUACAUGAAACGAAACAAAACAAAA